UGCCAGCCGCCGCGGUAACACGGGGGGCGCAAGCGUUAUUCGGAAUUAUUGGGCGUAAAGGGCGCGCAGGCGGUCUUGUCCGUCAGAUGUGAAAGCCCGGGGCUCAACCCCGGACGUGCAUUUGAAACAGUAAGACUUGAGUACGGGAGAGGAGAGAGGAAUUCCUGGUGUAGAGGUGAAAUUCGUAGAUAUCAGGAGGAACACCGAUGGCGAAGGCAUCUCUCUGGACCGAUACUGACGCUGAGGUGCGAAAGCGUGGGGAGCAAACCGGAUUAGAUA
rnacentral:rRNA from 1 species